UAGAGUUUGAUCCUGGCUCAGGAUGAACGCUGGCGGCGUGCCUAAUACAUGCAAGUCGAGCGAACGGACGAGAAGCUUGCUUCUCUGAUGUUAGCGGCGGACGGGUGAGUAACACGUGGAUAACCUACCUAUAAGACUGGGAUAACUUCGGGAAACCGGAGCUAAUACCGGAUAAUAUUUUGAACCGCAUGGUUCAAAAGUAAAAGACGGUCUUGCUGUCACUUAUAGAUGGAUCCGCGCUGCAUUAGCUAGUUGGUAAGGUAACGGCUUACCAAGGCAACGAUGCAUAGCCGACCUGAGAGGGUGAUCGGCCACACUGGAACUGAGACACGGUCCAGACUCCUACGGGAGGCAGCAGUAGGGAAUCUUCCGCAAUGGGCGAAAGCCUGACGGAGCAACGCCGCGUGAGUGAUGAAGGUCUUCGGAUCGUAAAACUCUGUUAUUAGGGAAGAACAUAUGUGUAAGUAACUGUGCACAUCUUGACGGUACCUAAUCAGAAAGCCACGGCUAACUACGUGCCAGCAGCCGCGGUAAUACGUAGGUGGCAAGCGUUAUCCGGAAUUAUUGGGCGUAAAGCGCGCGUAGGCGGUUUUUUAAGUCUGAUGUGAAAGCCCACGGCUCAACCGUGGAGGGUCAUUGGAAACUGGAAAACUUGAGUGCAGAAGAGGAAAGUGGAAUUCCAUGUGUAGCGGUGAAA
rnacentral:rRNA from 1 species